GUAAGACCGGGGGGACGCGGCGGUAGCGGCGGCCGUUGCGAUUGAUUGCGCUGGUUGCCUGCGGCGUCCACUUCCUUGGCCGCCCUUGCUACACUGGCUGAUUGUUGUGCAGCCGGCGCCAUGUCUGUGAGCGAGAUCUUCGUGGAGCUGCAGGGCUUUUUGGCUGCCGAGCAGGACAUCCGAGAGGCGAGCCCCCUCCCUUCCCCAUUCCCUUUGCCUUUCCAUGCCUAGUUGGGCCACUUCGCCCGGCCCUCCUCUGUCGCUCAGUCUCGGGCGGUGGGGACGCCUCCGAGGUUCCAAAGAGGUGUUUGAAAGCUCGAGAACAUUUUGGUACAGUAAAAACACAUCUAACAUCUUUGAAGACCAAAUUUCCUGCUGAACAGUAUUACAGAUUUCAUGAGCACUGGAGGUUUGUGUUGCAGCGCUUGGUCUUCUUGGCAGCAUUUGUUGUGUAUUUGGAAACAGAAACACUAGUGACUCGAGAAGCAGUUACAGAAAUUCUUGGCAUUGAGCCAGAUCGGGAGAAAGGAUUUCAUCUGGAUGUAGAAGAUUAUCUCUCA
rnacentral:lncRNA from 1 species